UUUUAAUAGUUUAAAAAAAACAUUGAUUUUGUAAAUCAGAAUUGAAUUAUCUUAAAACUC
rnacentral:tRNA from 1 species